rnacentral:rRNA from 1 species
UGGGCGAGAGCAGUACUAAGAUGGGUGACCUCUUUGGGGAAGUCCUCGUGGUUGCACCCCCUCCUUUU